AGCGUUAUCCGGAUUCAUUGGGUUUAAAGGGUGCGUAGGCGGACUAUUAAGUCAGUGGUGAAAUCCUGCAGCUUAACUGCAGAACUGCCAUUGAUACUGAUGGUCUUGAGUUUGGUUAAGGUAGGCGGAAUGUGUAAUGUAGCGGUGAAAUGCUUAGAUAUUACACAGAACACCAAUUGCGAAGGCAGCUUACUGGGCCAUUACUGACGCUGAUGCACGAAAGCGUGGGGAUCGAACAGGAUUAGAUACCCUGGUAGUCCACGCCGUAAACGAUGAUUACUCGCUGUUGGCGAUACACUGUCAGCGGCUAAGCAAAAGCAAUAAGUAAUCCACCUGGGGAGUACGGCCGCAAGGUUGAAACUCAAAGGAAUUGACGGGGGCCCGCACAAGCGGAGGAACAUGUGGUUUAAUUCGAUGAUACGCGAGGAACCUUACCUGGGCUUAAAUGUAGAGUGCAUUUUCUAGAGAUAGAAAUUCCCUUCGGGGCUUUCUGCAAGGUGCUGCAUGGUUGUCGUCAGCUCGUGCCGUGAGGUGUCGGGUUAAGUCCCAUAACGAGCGCAACCCUUAUCGUUAGUUGCCAGCUGGUAAAGCAGGGGACUCUAGCGAAACUGCCACCGUAAGGUGAGAGGAAGGUGGGGAUGACGUCAAAUCAGCACGGCCCUUAUGUCCAGGGCUACACACGUGUUACAAUGGCCGGUACAGAGGGCAGCUACCUGGUGACAGGAUGCGAAUCUCGAAAGCCGGUCUCAGUUCGGAUCGGAGUCUGCAACUCGACUCCGUGAAGCUGGAUUCGCUAGUAAUCGCGCAUCAGCCAUGGCGCGGUGAAUACGUUCCCGGGCCUUGUACACACCGCCCGUCAAGCCAUGGAAGCUGGGGGUGCCUGAAGUCCGUCACCGUGAGGAGCGGCCUAGGGUAAAACCAGUGACUGGGGCUAAGUCGUAACAAGGUAGCCGUACCGGAAGGUGCGGCUG
rnacentral:rRNA from 1 species